GACGAACGCUGGCGGCGUGCUUAACACAUGCAAGUCGAGCGGUAAGGCUCCUUCGGGAGUACACGAGCGGCGAACGGGUGAGUAACACGUGAGCAAUCUGCCCUUCACAUCGGAAUAACUUCGGGAAACCGAAGCUAAUACCGGAUACGACCAUCGGUGGCAUCAUCUGAUGGUGGAAAGUUCCGGCGGUGGAGGAUGAGCUCGCGGCCUAUCAGCUUGUUGGUGGGGUAAGGCCCACCAAGGCGACGACGGGUAGCCGGCCUGAGAGGGUGACCGGCCACACUGGGACUGAGACACGGCCCAGACUCCUACGGGAGGCAGCAGUGGGGAAUAUUGGACAAUGGGCGAAAGCCUGAUCCAGCAACGCCGCGUGAGGGAUGACGGCCU
rnacentral:rRNA from 1 species